CUGAAGGAUGGAAAUUUAUGGUUAAAGAGCAUUUCUCAAAAAUGAAUGUUGUGUUCAUUUCUGGUUUAUUGUAUUUGCUUUUUUUUUCUGUUUGUUUUGUUUUAUAGGCCACCCUUUGAGACCUGGUGAAAGAUAAUCCGGAGCAAUUAUGUUCUGCAGUAAAAAGAAAUCACUCGAAGCAGAACGGAUAGUAAAAGCCAAUGACCGUGAAUAUAAUGAGAAGUUCCAGUACACACCAGAUUCUUAACCCACAGAGCGAGGCCA
rnacentral:lncRNA from 1 species